CAUUAUUCUUCUCUACAAUGCCCUCAAAAAAGGGUUAAUUCUUGCUAAUUUCAACUAUAGAGUAGGGUUUUUAGUGCUAAUUAAAUCGAUACUCACUUACGUAUAAGUGAAUAGUAUCAUCAUAAUAAUGUCUAUUGAAGUUCCAUAUCUCCAUUUUUGCUAUAAAUAUCCGGGAAUCAAGGUUUUAUAUUAUGUAGUAACCUCAACACAUUCAACCUACCUCACAUAGUUUGAGAAGUAAGGUGUGUUGAGGAUUGAAGGUGAGUGAUGAGCGCGAUGGAGAAGCAGGGCACGUGCACUACUAACUCAUACACACGCGCGCACACCAUUUUUCAACGUGAAAGAGUUAGUUCUUCAUGUGCCCAUCUUCACCAUCAUGAACCACUCCAUCUUGUCUGAAUAUCACUGCAAGAGAAAGCUUCAAUUUCAAGUUUAUGUCAAGAGGUAAGGACGUAACAUUUUUUCCAAGAGAGAGCAUAGUCCUCGUGAAAAUACUACAGUCUAUCCAGCUUGAAUAUAUGCAAUUUCCAAGUGAUCACACAAUAACAAGUUCCGUACCCUAUCAGUGGCUCAUCAUACAAAUACAAACAUGUAUCUUGACCUGACGAUCAACUUUCCAAAUAAUUUGCAUCUGAAUUAGCCUCAUGAUAUACGUGCUUCAUUACCAUGGAUCAAUUUCUGUCACACAUACCCCAAAUAUUUUGUACAAGGCUGAAGCAACUUCCAUCUUCCCUAUUUGAGUUGAUCCAUAAUGGAAAAGAGGUGCAAAUCACUUUGCAUAAUGUAUAUUCAAAAGUUAAGAGGCAUAUGCAUAUUCCAAAUUAUACCGAUAUGAAAGUUGUUGCAAUUGAAUCGUCAAAAUUUUCUAAAA